rnacentral:misc_RNA from 1 species
UCCGGUUUGGCACCGGCAGUCUCCCUAGAGUGCCCGGCUUUACCCGCUGGUAACUAGGGACGGGGGUUGCGCUCGUUGCGGGACUUAACCCAACAUCUCACGACACGAGCUGACGACAGCCAUGCAGCACCUGUGUUCCGGUUCCCUUUCGGGAACCCUCGCCUUUCAGCAGGCUUCCGGACAUGUCAAGGGUAGGUAAGGUUGUUCGCGUUGCAUCGAAUUAAACCACAUGCUCCACCGCUUGUGCGGGCCCCCGUCAAUUCCUUUGAGUUUCAACCUUGCGGUCGUACUCCCCAGGCGGGGUACUUCCUGCGUUAGCGCCGGCACCCAGAGGGUCGCUCCCCCAGGCACCUAGUACCCAUCGUUUACGGCGUGGACUAC